AGUAGCCUACGGAGCGCAGCAGUGAGGAAUAUUGGUCAAUGGCCGGAAGGCUGAACCAGCCACGCCGCGUGAGGGAGGAAGGCGCAGAGCGUCGCAGACCUCUUUUGCCGGGGGACAAAAGGCCGGACUCGUCCGGUCCUGAGGGUACCCGGAGAAAAAGCAUCGGCUAACUCCGUGCCAGCAGCCGCGGUAAUACGGAGGAUGCGAGCGUUAUCCGGAUUCAUUGGGUUUAAAGGGUGCGCAGGCGGGCCUUUAAGCCGGCGG
rnacentral:rRNA from 1 species